AUUGAACGCUGGCGGCAUGCCUUACACAUGCAAGUCGAACGGCAGCGGACCUUCGGGUGCCGGCGAGUGGCGAACGGGUGAGUAAUAUAUCGGGAACGUACCUUUCAGUGGGGGAUAACGUAGCGAAAGUUACGCUAAUACCGCAUAUUCUGUGAGCAGGAAAGCAGGGGAUCGCAAGACCUUGCGCUGAUUGAGCGGCCGAUAUCAGAUUAGCUAGUUGGUGAGGUAAAGGCUCACCAAGGCGACGAUCUGUAGCGGGUCUGAGAGGAUGAUCCGCCACACUGGAACUGAGACACGGUCCAGACUCCUACGGGAGGCAGCAGUGGGGAAUUUUGGACAAUGGGCGCAAGCCUGAUCCAGCCAUGCCGCGUGAGUGAAGAAGGCCUGG
rnacentral:rRNA from 1 species